rnacentral:rRNA from 1 species
GGACUACCGGGGUAUCUAAUCCUGUUUGCUCCCCACGCUUUCGCGCAUCAGCGUCAGUAUCGGUCCAGUGAGCCGCCUUCGCCACCGGUGUUCUUCCCAAUAUCUACGAAUUUCACCUCUACACUGGGAAUUCCACUCACCUCUCCCGAACUCCAGCACCGCAGUAUCAAACGCUAUUCCCAGGUUGAGCCCGGGGCUUUCACGCCUAACUCGCAGCGCCGCCUACGCGCCCUUUACGCCCAGUAAUUCCGAACAACGCUAGCCCCCUUCGUAUUACCGCGGCUGCUGGCAC